rnacentral:rRNA from 1 species
ACACCGGCAGCUCAAGUGGUAGCCGCUUUUAUUGGGCCUAAAGCGUCCGUAGCCGGUCUGAUAAGUCUCUGGUGAAAUCCCACAGCUUAACUGUGGGAAUUGCUGGAGAUACUAUCAUGACUCGAGGUCGGGAGAGGCUGGAGGUACUCCCAGGGUAGGGGUGAAAUCAUGUAAUCCUGGGAGGACCACCUGUGGCGAAGGCGUCUAACUGGAACGAUCUUGACGGUGAGUAACGAAAGCCAGGGGCGCGAACCGGAUUAGAUACCCGGGUAGUCCUGGCCGUAAACGAUGUGGACUUGGUGUUGGAAUGGCUUUGAGUUGUUCCGGUGCCGAAGGGAAGCUGUUAAGUCCACCGCCUGGGAAGUACGGUCGCAAGACUGAAACUUAAAUGAAUUGGCGGGG